UUCUCCCUGACAGAUGCCUCAGAGCCCCGGGCCGCAGUUAAGGUGACGAGAUGCAGCAAUUCUUUAUGAACAUUUCAUUCCUGCUCGCUACACGACGUAAAUUAGAUGGUGUGUUACAUUCGGGCAAUAAGAGAGAUAUGUCACCACGACGCUGGCCCAUUGGAUGGAGAGGGGGUUUGGCGAAGAGCUGAAAGGAUUUCACCCUGAUGUGCACACUACUGAGUGACCCCGCUCACCAGCGGCUCCGCUGAUUGCUUUGCACCUUGCAGACACCGCAAUUGGCUCAGCCUCUCGCCCGCCUCGCCUCCCUCCCUGGUCCCAGCCCUCCCUGCCUGACUUUUUCUUGAAGCAAGAAGAAAAGAGACCUAAUGGAGGAGUCACAAGGGCACCCUCCACUGUGACUGCCGGUCUUUGAGCUCAGGAAGAAGGUCUCCUCUGCGCUUGACCCCUGCCAUUACACUGGAAGCGUUUUAUGCUGAAAGCUCAUCUCAGGGCCACAGUUUCACCCUAACCCUGCUGCAUAACAGCUGUGUUAUGAGGCAGGUCAUCACAUCUUUCUGAACUUCAGUUUCAUCCCCUCCAAAAUGAGAGUGUUUUCGGCGGACACAAUAUCUUUGUUUGUAUGUGGUGCUGAGGAUCGAACCCGGGUCACACGCAUGCCAGGUGCAGAGGUGAAGACAAGGACUUCUGUCUUAUCCUGGAGACAGGAGUCUUUGAGGAUGAAAUGAGACUUCUGACAAGAGAUUUGACUGGCCAUACAUUUAUUCAGAUUCCUCUGA